rnacentral:rRNA from 1 species
CCUACGGGUGGCAGCAGUGGGGAAUAUUGGACAAUGGGCGAAAGCCUGAUCCAGCCAUGCCGCGUGUGUGAAGAAGGCCUUCGGGUUGUAAAGCACUUUCAGUGGGGAAGAAAGCCUUGGGGCUAAUACCCUCGAGGAAGGACAUCACCCACAGAAGAAGCACCGGCUAACUCCGUGCCAGCAGCCGCGGUAAUACGGAGGGUGCAAGCGUUAAUCGGAAUUACUGGGCGUAAAGCGCGCGUAGGCGGUCUGAUAAGCCGGUUGUGAAAGCCCCGGGCUCAACCUGGGAACGGCAUCCGGAACUGUCAGGCUAGAGUGCAGGAGAGGAAGGUAGAAUUCCCGGUGUAGCGGUGAAAUGCGUAGAGAUCGGGAGGAAUACCAGUGGCGAAGGCGGCCUUCUGGACUGACACUGACGCUGAGGUGCGAAAGCGUGGGUAGCAAACAGGAUUAGAUACCCUAGUAGUC